rnacentral:rRNA from 1 species
AUGUCGCCGGCGGCGGCCGGCGCCGCCUCCUCCGGCGAGGCGCCGCCGUCGCGUCAGCCCUACACCAUCCCCGCCUCGUCCGGUUGGUUCCGCUGGGACGACAUCCACGAGACGGAGCGCCAGGCGCUCCCGGAUUUCUUCGGCGGCGCCGGCGGCACCGGCUUCGGAACGGCGUCGCGGAACCCCCGGAUCUACCGCGAGUACCGCGACUACAUCAUCAAUAAGUACCGGGAGGACCCCGCCCGCCGCCUCACCUUCACCGAGGUCCGCAAGGCGCUCGUCGGCGACGCCACGCUCCUCCGGAAGCUCUUUGGCUUCCUAGACGCCUCCGGCCUCAUCAACUUCUCCGCCACCUCCUCCCGCCCGGCGGCGCAGCAGCCUGGGCCGGGCGCCGUCGUAGAGGCGCCCCUGGGGUUGCAGGUGACGCCACGCCCGCCGGCGUCCUACUUCGUGGAGGAGAGAUUGGGAGGAGGGACCGGGGACGGCCCGCUCCGCUUGCCUCAGCUGACAUCGUACACCGAUGUGUUUGGGGAGUGGACGCCUGGGAAGGGGCCUAUAUGUGGCUUCUGCGGCGACGAGUGCAAGGACGGCAAGGUGGAAACCUUGAAGGAUGGUUUUAAAGUAUGUUCAACGUGUUGCAAAACCAAUAGUGCAAAGGAGGAAGCAAAUAAAUGCUCUAUUGUUAAAAAGGAGAGCUCUGACAACCAUGCUUCCAGUGCAUGGACAGAUGCAGAGACGCUACUCCUUUUAGAAGGUGUCCUAAAACAUGGAGAUGACUGGGAUCUUAUUACCCAGCAUGUCCGCACAAAGAAUAAAACAGAGUGUAUUGCUAGGCUUAUUCAGUUGCCUUUUGGUGAACAUAUGCUGGGCAACAUAAAUAAUGGUAAAUCUGAUAGUAGGUUCCAUACAAACCAAACUACUGAUGGCAAAACGAACCACUUUAUUGUGAAGGAGGCAUCAAGUCAGUCGGCCGAUAUGGUUGAUGGCAUGCAGAUUGAUGGGGAGGAGGAUGGUGCUGAUAAAUUAGUUGAAGACCAUCCUUCAAAGCGCCGGCGUUUAUGUUCUUCAUUAGAUGUCACCAGUUCAUUAAUGGAGCAGUUAGCACUGCUGACUACCGCGGUGAGCCCAGAUGUUGUGGCUGCAGCUGCAGCUGCAUCAAUUAAAGCAUUGGGUAAUGAAAAUCCCCAAGCAAAGAAGGCAUUUCAUCUCAGCGAGAAAGAAUACCAAGUCAAAUCAUUCUCUUCUAACCAUGUCCAAGAGAGUGAUUGCAAUGUUGGCAAUAAGGAAGCAGAAAUGCAUGGACAGACUGUUCCUGAUAAGAAAAUGGAAAGAAACUUUAUUUCUACCGCAUAUCAAGUGAGGGCAGCUGUUGGAACAGCUGUUGGUGUAGCUGCUGCCCGCGCGAAGAUGCUCGUGGACCAGGAAGAGCGAGAGAUGGAGCUUCUAAUGGCGUCCAUAAUUGAAACUCAGCUAAGAAAGAUCCAAUACAAGAUCAAACACUUUGAGGAGCUAGAGUUGAUCAUGGAUCAGGAGUACACCACCAUACAACAAAUAAAGGAGUCCCUGAUGAAGGAAUGGCAAACGGUCCUGGAGCGAGCAUUUCAGACUGGAGCACCGCUUCAGAGGGACGAAGUGCUCACAAGGCUGUUCCUGGACAGGUCUACUCCAUAG